AUUGAACGCUGGCGGCAGGCCUAACACAUGCAAGUCGAGCGGAGCGGCGGACGGGUGAGUAAUGCCUAGGAAUCUGCCUGGCAGCGGGGGAUAACGUCCGGAAACGGGCGCUAAUAUCUCACACUAUCAGAUGAGCUUAGGUCGGAUUAGCUAGUUGGUGGGGUAAAGGCCUACCAAGGCGACGACCCGUAACUGGCCUGAGAGGAUGAUCAGUCACACUGGAAUGGAGGAACGGUCCAGCCUCCAACGGGAGGCAGAGGUGGGGAAUAUUGGAAAAUGGGCGAAAGCCUGAUGCAGCAAUACCAGGUGUGUGAAGAAGGUCUUGGGAUUGUAAAGCACUUUAAGUUGGAAGGCGUUACCAAAAGAGUAAGCACCGGCUAACUUCGUGCCAGCAGCCGCGGUAAUAC
rnacentral:rRNA from 1 species